rnacentral:lncRNA from 1 species
AUCCAUGUACAUUUCUAGAAACAAAACAUAACAGACUUUUCAGUACAUGUCAAGUGAUAUGACCGGCAAAAUCAUGAGAGGAUCAUUUUCAGUAUAUGACCGGCAAGACUGAGUAUUGUAAACUAAAAUGAUCACCACUCAACAAGCAUUACUAUUAAUAAUUUCAACAGACUUUUGCCUCCAGUUCUAGUGCUUCCAAAUGAUACAUGGCAGAAAAGUUGGACCCCUCGGUCUUCAGUAAUAGUGCUUCCUGUAACGUGCCUCAGACGAAAAAGAUUAGGACGAGGGUCUCCAGACCGCUUUAUGGGAGGAUGGGUCCAAAUAUUGCUCAAGAACAUGCAAGGAAGUUGCAAACAUGCUGGUUAACAUCUUCAAACAUCAAUUUUUAAGAGCAAGGCAAUUAUUUCAAUCAUCAUGUAAGGACUUGAGUAAGAUGAAAAAUAAAACUGAAACCCUCAUUACCUAAUGCAAACCAAUUAUUCAGAACAAGAAGAUACUUUGGGUCUGACAUUAUCCUACACUCACACUGGAAAAGCACCCAUUGUUUUUCCACAUAAACAACCUUCUCAACAUCAGAAGCCCACGGAUACUCUCCGGAGCAGUGUGAGAAAGAUAAACUUUAUCUUAUGAAGAUUUUAUCGGUUAAGUUGCCACGAACAGGGACACAUCCCUGCAAACUGAAAAUCAAGUACUUGCAGUUCAUAAGAGCAUGGUUACAACCUCCACUAACCCCAUCCUGGCACUAAACAAGUCAUCACAUUUUAGAAAAUGGUCCAGUGUGAUAGCCAGUUCAUAAUUGCUACUCAACUACAUUACCCAGUAACACAAUCCAGCCAGUGAGCAGUUCACCCAAUUUUGAACAAGGUACCCUGUGAUAGCAAGUUCAUAAUCACUUGAAAUUAUAGACUAAAUAUGCAACAAAAAUGGUUCUAUGGGAAAACACCAAUUACCUACAAGUCCAUUCGGAUAUUGCCUCCACACACAUGUCUGGUGCACAGGAAUCCCGAAUCACAGUGAUGUCUUCCAGUAGCAUGCAACAGUGCGAGAAUUCAUCAUUCGUCCAGGUUGUGACGCAACUUGGUAGCAUCUUCAUGUGUAAUUUAAUGAGGACGAUGUCUUUCCACUGUUCAGAUCAACCAAGCGCAACCACACCUGUGUAUUUUCCAGCGGCUCCAAAUCCACACCCGCAACUCGGCGACAGAGUGCCUCUGCAUAUCUCUUUA